CCCCUAGAUGUUCUGGGCCGCACGCGCGCUACACUGAACAGUUCAACAAGUCUUAACCUUGGCCGAUAGGUCUGGGUAAUCUUUGAACGCUGUUCGUGAUUGGGAUAGACCUUUGCAAUUAUGGGUCUUCAACGAGGAAUUCCUAGUAAACGCAAGUCAUCAGCUUGCAUUGAUUACGUCCCUGCCCUUUGUACACACCGCCCGACGCACCUACCGAUUGAAUGGUCCGGUGAAAUCUCGGGACGGCGGCUUGGUCGCUUGCGUCCGACUGCUGAAACUUGAUUAAACCAUAUCAUUUAGAGGAAGGUGAAGUCGUANCA
rnacentral:rRNA from 1 species